UAAUAAAAUGUAAUUUUAUUUUACUUAUUUAUUUUUAUUUUAUUUUAUUUUAUUUUAUUUUAUUUUAUUUUAUUUUAUUUUAUUUUAUUUUAUUUUUAGAGAGGGAGAGGGAAGAGGGAGAGAGAAUCUUAAGCAGGCUCCAUACCCAGGGUGGAGCCAGAUUUUUGGCUCAAUCUUACAAUGCUGGGAUCAUGACUUGAUAAGAGUCAGACAUGACUGACUUACUCACCCAGGUGCCUGAAAACUGUAACUUUAACUAUAGCACAUUCAAAGAGUCCUGUGAGUCUGAUGAGAAAUGGAACUUGAGGGUGAUAUGAGAAUACUCAAACCAGUCAGGUGGCCAGAGUGAAAGUAGCCCUCAGGACUCCUGAAUUUAUGGCUAGUGUCUGAAGUAAGGGCAAAGCUGUCUUGUGGGAAGGCUGUGCCUUUAACCUGUGAACUUUGGCUACUUCAGGUAGUAUCAAAUCAUACACUUUCUUAAAGUAUAAACAGUAUAGUAAAAAUGGCCUAAAAUAUAGGAAACAAAAACUGCCAAAAUAAGAUAAGUUUUUAAGUCAUUAUUAUAUUGGGAAAUAUUAAUGUACCUCUACUAACUGAUGGAUCAGAGAAAAAAAAUUGCGAUAUAGAAAAUAUGAACAACUAUUAACUAUUUUGAUUCAUCUAUCUAUUUAGCAUCCAAUAACUAGAAAAUGCACAUUUUCAAGCAUACAAGAAACCAUAAAAAUGGACCAUGAAGAAAGUCUCAACAAAUUUCAAAGACAAUGGUAUUAUAACAUGAAAAACAGACUGUGCCCUUUAUUCUGUAGAAUGUACAUUUUUAUCUGAGUUCCUUUCUCAAGUAGGAGGCAUGUGGUACACUAAAUGAAACUGCUUGAGGCAAUGGCAUCUCCUUCUAAUACAGGAGCAUGCAGUGAUGCUUCCAAUGUUUGUCAAGGUAUCAUAAUGGCCCACUUUUUAAAAAUCCAAGAAGCCUUUGGGCAUUAUCUGGGACUUAGACAAAGAAGGUAAAAAGAAGGUAAAUUUGCUCUUUAUUAAAAUAUUCGGCUCUACAUACAUUCUAGCCAGAGACUAUAUUGCAGGCUUUUUAUAUUACAUGUAGAAAAAAUUCUGCCUUCAUUUCUAAUGUUCUUAUAAAAGGCAUCUGUGUGCAUAUGUAUGCAUGCUAUCUCUUUAAUUAUUCUAGUUAUCAAUACUGCAAGAAGCCGGUUACAUAUAUAAGACUUUUUGUAGUGAUUCUUGUGUAGAAUUAAGGGGUGAGCCCAUAAAUACUAUCCUCAUAUCAUUUUUCAAUGCAGAUAGUACUGCAGUGGCAACACUAUAUAAGGGUUCAGGGUGUCCUGGAGUAUCAGGUGGUACCUAGACAUAGAAUGAAUGAUGACCAGAGUUAGAGCUGGGAACCGUAGGGAAGCCCUUAUCUCAUGAAGCAGCAACAAUCAAUGGCAUGACUCAGGAUUAGGGCAAGGCCUUCUCACUGUCUCCAAAUAUACUAGAGGAAAAGAGGCUAAUGUUCUGUUUAUGAUAUGAAACUGCCUGUCAUAUUUGGGUAAAAACUAAUAUUUCUUUUUUUAAAAAAGAUUUAUCUAUUUAUUUCUCAGAGAAAGA
rnacentral:lncRNA from 12 species